rnacentral:miRNA from 1 species
UUCCGUGUUUCGUCUGACCACU